CAGGGCGGACUUUGUGGAGAAGGCUUUGUCAGCGCGAGAGGGUGAAGGGUGACAGACAGGGGCGUUUGCGCACUGACAGAAGGGAGAAAAGCGGGGACAGUGAGGGCAGAGAUGACCCUGUUUGGGGUGACAGGAGAGUCGGGGCCAUCCACUGCUGCUGCCAGUGUGGGAGUCUCGGAGCUGGAAGGCCUUUGGACACAUACUAGGACUACACCAUCAACUCUCCUUGAUCUCUAGCUUGCUGAGUGAAGAUCUCAGGACUUCUCAACCUCCAUGAUUGCAUAAACCAAUUCCUUAUAGUGAGGAUACAGUGAGAAGGAGUCUACCUGCAAGUCAGGAAGAGAACCCUCAACAGAACCUGAGCAUGUUGGCACCCUGAUUUCAGACUUCUAGUCUUCAGAACUGUGGGAGAAUACAUUUCUAUUGUUUAAGCCACCCAGUCUGUAGUAUUUUGUUAUGGUAGCCUGAGAGACUGACACCAUCCACUUCUUUUUCCAUCCUCAGCUCAUACUAAAAUACAAAUUUUAUAGUGUGGAAUAGUUGUAAUCAUGUAGGUAGAAGCAUUAACCUAGGUCAUAGUAAAAUAGCAAGGUAGAUGGAAUCUGCGUUCCUGCAUGACCUCAUAAAGCAGGAUUACUCAGUAGCCCUCCACCUGAGGCUGUUACAUGAAAGAGGGUAAUAAGCUUUCAGUUCUGCUUGAAGAACUGUAUUGUUUAGUCUCUUAGCUAAAGUAGUAUUUAAUUAAGGUACACUAUCUACUAUAUAAUUAUUAUUUAUUGCAAUAAAUGUAAUUCAGAAUUUGGAUAAAUCAUUGCAUUAUCCUUCUACUACCAUUUAAAUAGUGAUAACAAUAUAGCUUAUGUAUAUUUUAGCUUUUUCUUAAGUUUAUGAAUCUUGUACCUAGAGAGGAUUUUCAAUGGUAGAUUAUUGGUGAGAUUAUUGGUGAGAGAUUUAAGGCUAGAUUUGGUGCACCCCUGGAGCUUGCUGUUCAAUAUUAGAAAAUCGCGCCUUUUCAAAUUGCAUGCAAUUAGAAAUAAUAAAAAAUUGAAAGUAUUACUUUCAGAAGUAACAUUCUAAAAUAUGAUUUGUGGAUGUAUUGCUGAUGAGAAUUUGGUUUCUCUGAAAUUGUAUUAAGAACACUAAAAUGUGACUAGUGGAUUUAUGACCUAAUUAAUUGUUAUGUGCCAACAAUAGAACUGUGGUGCUUAAAUGGGAUAUAAAUAUUUUAAAAAAGAACAACAGCAUGAAUUUGUUUGUUUUCCCUACAGUCCUGCAGAGAGGUAGGUCACAAUGCCACCUGGAAUAGGCAAAAUAUACCAAGCAUUAUUGGGUGCCCUUGGACAAGUGCUCAACUCUUCUGCUCCAGUUGGCUUAUUUGUUAAAUGAAGAUGCUAACAAUACCGACAUUAUGGAAUUGUUUUGAGGAGUCAGUAAGGAAAUACCUGUCUCUAUAAUAGUGUGUGUGACACAUAAUUGUACAUUAACAUCAAUUAACUAUUGUUACUGCUGCUCUCAUUGUUACUGAAGAAUAUUUAUGCUAAAAGGUCAAAGAGAGAGGUGUGACUAAUGCAAGAUGAGAAGAAGAGGGGAUCAUUAUUAAGGAGAGAAGGGAGGGAGAAGCACUACAAGUGAGAGGUGGAGGGAAAAUAGUGCAGGGCAGCGAGGUGUAAAAAAAGCAGAACCAGUUCAGAGAACAGUGACCUUGUAUAGUAAGCUUGAUGUGUAAUAGUGAGAAAUCUAAACUUUUUCUUGGAAACUUUUAAACCUUUUAAGAAAAAAAGUAGCAUUAUUAGAUAUGGAUAUCAGAAAAAAGAUAUGAUAAAUGAUGUGGAAAACGAAUCUUAGUGUGGGCAGAUGGGAUUAGAUAGAGUUAUGAGACACACUCUAAUUGUCCAGGUGAAAGGCAAUUUAUAUUCAUUUAUAUUUAUUUAAUAAAUAAAUAAACAUAUAUAUUCUGGAGAUCUAUAUUAAAGCUUGAACAUUAAAGAUAUAGACCAGGGCACAUGUCCACAAAUUAUUUAUGACACAUAUGUGAUAAAAAUGUGAGACUUAAAGCUGAUGCUCGGUUUGUACAACUGAGCAGAUAACAAUGCUAUUAGCCAAGAUAGGGAACAUAAUGAUGUUAAUUCCAAUAUUAAAUAUUUGUUUAGUUCUUAAUUUGUAUUAGGCUCUGCUCUAAAUACUUUUAAUGUAGUAACUCAUUUAAUCCUCACAACAAUGCUAAACAUAAUAUUAUUAUUUCCAUUUCACAGACUGGGAAACUAUAGGAUAUGGGGAACAAAUGACUUUGCUAAGGUCCGAUAGCUAGUGACCAGUAGAAUGGAAUUCCAAAUAUAGUUGAAUUGUUGCAGAACUUGUGCCUUUGAUUCCCCUGCUAAGUAGCAUUGCUACUCAGCAGAGGAACAUAUUUGAAGAGAGCAUUGGAGAGCAUUGGAAAAUAUGAAAAUAGAUGAGGCUAAGCUCCCGGAAAGGACUUGAAAUGAAGACUUUGGAAUUUUUGUUUUUAUUUUUUCUUUUAGAAACAGUUUCACUAAUGUUACCCAGGCGGCACUCGAACUCCUGAGCUCAAGAGAUCCUCCCACCUCAGCCCCUUGAGUAGUUGAGACCAUGUACCAUGCAUGUUUGGACUUUGGUAUUCUUUUGACAACAUUCUAUUCAUUUAGUGUCAACACAACACUAUUUUUGUUCAUCAUUUUAAUAACUAAUUGACUUUUGUGUCUUCGUUUUACAUAUAAAUAAAUAUUAAUUAAAAAAUAUAUAUAAUAUAAUAUAACUUUAAACCAAUAGCCUAGCCUAGUAACAUCAUCAAAAAGAAUGUGGGCUUGGUCUAGAAUGAUACAUAAAUAUAUCCUUACUCCUCCUGGUUAGUUACACUUUUCAUUUAAAAUGUUCCUGUUCUGUAAGGCCAGAUCAAUAGCACUACUGGCCAUGCCUCCAUUUCUGUUGCUGCCCCCAGUUCCUGGCAGCAGCCUGCAGGGAACUCCACAGGUGGGGCCCAAAGUAGGGCUGAGCAUGAGCUAUCUGAGCCAGAGCAACCUUGGAUCUGACAUCCCAGAAAAGGACUGGAGUGAAGGAGUGGUGUGAAUGGAGCCAGGGAUGAGACCUGCCCCUAUUGAACCCUUAAUCCCACCCUGCUCACCUUGGAGAAGCGCCGAGCAAGAACCCUGGCAACAUCAAACUCUGCAAGAUCCCGGCAGCCCAGAACAUUUCCAAGAUGACUGUCACAUCACAGAAUCGUGUUUAUCUCACUGCUGACAACCUUGUGCUGAACCUACAGGAGGAAAGUUUCACCCGGGGAAGUGGCAGCCUCAUCAAGGGUAAGUAAGGAGCCUGGGAAUCAAGCACUCCAACCCCAGAGAGCAAGUGGAUCUGCUUCUCUAGUUUUUGAGUAGCCAGUUAGGAGCCCAGCACACUCCCACCCACCCCCAGUAUCAUGUGAUGGUCCCCUGUACCCACACCUGGCCUCACUACCCCUCUUGGAUUAAGGAAGACUGAAGACCAGCCUUUUUUCUGGGGAAUGACUUUCCUCCAUCGUAUUGGCCAGGGGUGUUGGGACAUUGUGUUAUUUCUCAGUGAUUUCCUAGUGUUGCUCCCUCCCUGAAGACUGGGAGGAGAUAACCACUAACCCAGGAAUUCUCAGUAAAUUUGUGUUACUUAGGAUGAAAGUAAAUAAAUAAAUAAAAAUUAAAAAAACAAAAUGUUCCUGUAAAAAAAACAAAAUGUUCCUAUUAUGCUGAGCUUUGCUUUAUCCCCUUAUGAGCAGAUACUCUUUUUUAAUAUUUCCCAGACAUAUAUAUAGCUAAUUAGAUAUUUAUUUAUUUGUAUGGAUCAGGAUGAUGGAAACUAAAUACAAUCCUAAACCUAUGUCUCAAGGAACCAAUAAGAAUCCUCUUGAAAUUCCAUAUCAGCUUAAUAUUUUAUAUUUGUGUUAACUGGACAGCUUUUAUCUAUGUUAAUAAACUGUUAAAUUUGCUAGUGAACAACUCUGCCUCUAUAUUAUUUAACUCUACUAUCAAGGGACUCAUUUAUUACAUAUAUCAAACUGUAAAAUAUUAGUAUGCCAUUUUACUUAAUAAAUGACUGCAUAUAUUGAAAUACAUUCAAGGACUAGGUGAAUUUAUAGGUCUGAUGGGAAUUCAACCUUUUCUGGUCAUGUAGCUUCCACAAGCUUUAAUUCAGUGAUCACCCAUUUCUUACUGGAUGGUACACAAAUCUAGAACCUCACAGUCUGAAUACAGACCUUGAAAGAAAUGAAUAGUUAUCUUAAAUGAUGUGAAGGGGGCAACAAAACAUAUGAAUAUCUACUAUGGGUUUCAAAUUAUAAUACUCAAAAUGUUUAUUGCCAAAUUUUUUUUCAAAGUAGGAUAGAUAAAAUAAGGAGACAAGUUUUAAAUUAUCCCUAUAUCAAACCAAACUGCAAAUGCAUUCAUUUGUUAAUGCUCUUCUUGAAUCUGGAGACUGGCAAUCUUGCAGAUCCUCAGCUUUCUCUCUCAUUCUCUGCAGAGAUCACUUCAAAUAUUCUCCAUUCUCUCAAAUCUUCUUUGACACCAGGGUCCAGCUCAUCAUCAGAUGAUGAUUUCACUUCAUAAGUUUUAGAGAAAAAUGUGAAUCAUAGCUAGAAACUAUCUUACCUUCUUCUUUCCUCUCACUACAGUUCAGAAAUGUCUCUCCUGCUAGGGCCAUAUCUCUGAGUGUUUCCUAUCUCUUCCUUCAGGAACAUACUCCACCAAUAGCCUUUCUUUCUUCUACCAUCUUGUCUCCCUUCCUAGUGACCCAUUCCCAACAACAUUUAAAUACCCUGAGUAUCCCCAAGUUAUAUUAUAAUAACUUUCUAGGGCUGCCAUAACAAAGUAUCACAAACUGGGUGACUUACAAUCUUAUCUCACAGUUCUGGAUUGCCUCUUCCUAGCUUCUGGUGGUUUGCUGGAGAUCUUUGGUGUUCCUUGGCUUGCAGAUACAGAAUUUCCAUCUCUGCUUUGGUGUCCCAUGGCAUUCUCCAUGUCUCUGCCUUCACAUGGUCAUGUUCUUAUAAGGACACAAGUCAUACUGGAUUAGGGGCUCAACUACUCCAGUAUGACCUCAUCUUAACUAAUUAUUUAUGCAAUGAACAUAUUUCUAAAUAAAGUCAUUUUGUGAGAUACUAAGGGUUAAUCUUUUAACAUAUCUGUUUUUGGGGGAUAGGCAAAAUUCAACUCAUAAUACCAACCUAAUAAAAUAAAAAAACUAAAUUCAAAUUUAAAACAGUUUUUAACCAGACUUCCCAUUUUAGUUACUAUUUUUAUUUUUUCAUUGCUUUAUAAUCUAACUUUUGAAGGUAUUGUCAAAAAGUUCUGCCUUUACUUCCUCACCCAUUCAUGUACUUUUCAUCACGAUCAUAAAGAAAAUUAGCUUUUCUUUGUGUAGGUAGGAGCGUGUAAUUUGCCCUGAUUAUGCAAAAAUAACACUCAACUUGACGUUCUUCCU